rnacentral:rRNA from 1 species
CCUACGGGUGGCUGCAGUAGGGAAUAUUGCUCAAUGGGGGAAACCCUGAAGCAGCAACGCCGCGUGGAGGAUGAAGGUUUUAGGAUUGUAAAAUCCUUUUGUGAGAGAAGAUAAUGACGGUAUCUCACGAAUAAGCACCGGCCAACUCAGCGCCCGCAGCCUCGGUAAUACGGGGGGUGCAAGCAUUACUCGGAGGCACUGGGAGUAAAGCGUGCGCAGGCGGGUUUGUAAGUCAGAUGUGAGAUCCUGUAGCUUAACUACAGAACUGCAUUUGAAACUAUGAGUCUAGAGUGUGGGGGAGGUAGGUGGAAUUCUUGGUGUAGGGGUAAUAUCCGUAGAUAUCAAGAGGAAUACUCAUUGCGAAGGCGACCUACUGGAACAUUACUGACGCUCAUGCACGAAAGCGUGGGGAGCAAACAGGAUUAGAUACCCCAGUAGUC